CGCCUACAGCAUCCUUUAUUCACGUCUCGUCACAGAAGUACUCAAGUGCUUGUGUAAAAGAGACAACCACAAAUAAACAAAGGAGUGUAAUGGAAACUUAUGAUAAUUUUGAGUAAACAUAACAUUCAAAUAUAUUCUAAAAUAAGACAUCUAUCAAUACUAACUAUUUUAUCCAUCUAAUAUACAUCCCACCAUGGAUCACAUCCAUAAGAGAUAUACGUUCGUAGUGCACCAACUAUGAUUUAAAUAAAGAUUAAUCCAUAUUUUAUUAUUAAAAACGUUAAAAAUGUUAAUGGCUCAAUCACAAUUAAGAGGAGUUAAAUUUAUUGUAAGGUUUAUUGUUAUUUUUUAAAUCUUUGGGUUAAAUAUGUUUUUAGUCCCUUAACUAUUAAACGAUUUUGAGUUUAGUUCUUACUCAAAACUUUGGUUGUUUUUAGUCCUCUUACUUUUGAAACUCUUAUAAUCAAUUCUUAAAAUUGAACAACAUUAACUUUUGUUUGAUAUGACAAAUGGUGAAUCCACGUCUGAUUCUACUUUUGUCUUUACUGUGUGGCACGUUGUUUUUCUUUUUUUCUUUUCUUUUUAGGAAGACUUCAAGGAUGACCCUAACACCGAACCUGAUUCCUCCGUCCAAUGGGACGAGCUCGGCGACGGAGACACCCACAAAUCUGAGGGGGACCUCGACCUUGGUUCAUGGUGCCCCAUCUUCGAGCCCCCUCCGGAGACCCCAACCUCUCUCGGAAUCCGACGACGCCUAUUACUCCGCCGUCGAAAAUCUCAUGUCCGGUAACCCCACCCUCAUUGAGGACGGCGCCGCAGAGAUCGCUGUCGCAGCCGAGACCGACCAUCCCACCGCGUAAUUUGUUCUAGGGUUUUGUGGAAGAGCCGUUAGAGGAGCUAAUUUGGGUCGGUUGGGCGUGGUUUGCUACAAUGGUGAUUUUAAGGAUGCGUUUGGAGGGAGAGAGUUCGAAUGGGAAGAGCAAGGAAGUUGCAGAAGAAAGAUGAAUGGUUGCCAUGUUUAUUGAUUGAAAUUAAAAUGAAGAUGAAGGUGACCUGCUUUUGGUUGCGGCAAAUAAUAAACAACUUUCUCCUUUAUUUUACUUGUUGCAGUUCCCACCAACCAUGUUCCAUUGGCGCCUGGUGUUAAGAAAUAACCAUUAUCUCUUUGUAUUUCACUAUUACUGCACCUAGCUGACUGACACCAUAGCAACAGUCUUUCACCGCAUAUGUUUGCAGUUAAAAUAUCUUGUGUACUAAGGAUAUUUUUAACAGAUUUUUAUCCAUAAUGAAUGAGGUUAAUGGUCGGU
rnacentral:lncRNA from 1 species